rnacentral:tRNA from 1 species
GAGGGUAUCGCUCAAUUGUAGAGCGCAUGCUUGGCAUGCACAAGGUUCUGGGUUCAGUCCCCAGUACCUCCA